CAUUUACCAAUAUAAAAUUUUCGCUAAGCUGAUGCUAGAUGUCUCGUGACAAAAGAUGUAAGAGAAGGAACAUCGAUAAUAUGUUCGUACAAAGAACAAGGGUAUUAUCUUUUGCUAUUCUUCAAGUUCUACAAAGUAUCAUUCAAAUUAGGGUCAGACUGUACCGAGGUUAGGCCAGGUUGCUAGGCUAUGGUUACAGUGUAUACGUAUCCUCGUAGAUAUAUGUAUGUCAGAAUAAUAAAGUACCUAUACAAUAGACUUUUAUGAGUAUACACAUACGUAUAUUUUGAUCUUCAGAUAUUUUAUUCAUCAGACAACAAUUUAUUUACGUUAGAACCUGCAUUUAUCGUAACAGUAGUCUUAGUUAUAUCAAAUUCAUUUGUUAUAUAAAAUACUCUGUUAGCUUGUUGACGUUGCUAUAGGGUGUUGCUUUAAAUCUUUCCUAUAUUCCCAUUUUAAGUAAAAAUUUAUUCUUAGACAUAUCUUGUCAUAUAUAAAUUAUUUAGCUCUGUUUACAUUGCGAAUUGAAUCAAUAGAAAAUCAGAUUAGAAGAUCUUUAUAUCCAAUUACUAACUGACAGGGGAACGAGGCUAAUACGAAGCCAUGAUUUUAAAAAAUGCGGUUGCUUUGGACGUUCAUGAAAUCCCUCUAGACACACGUUGAUAAAAAUGAGACACUUUCACUAACGAUUUGUAAAGAAAUGCAAAUUGUGAGGUCUUUAGACCGAAAUGAAUUUUAAAAAUAUGUGGAACAAGGAAAUUAGACGAAAAUUACUGUUUCGAUUAACAUUAAAAUAAACAUUGCAAAGAGGAUAAUACAAAUAAUUAUUUUAACAAAUUUGUCAACUAAUUCUAUUACGUUUUUUAUUACAUUCUAUGUAAAACUAUUAUUAU
rnacentral:misc_RNA from 1 species